rnacentral:lncRNA from 1 species
CAUGUCUCUGUGUGUGCCUCAUGUCCCCACAUCCCCGCCAUGUCCUCUGUGUCCCCAUGGUAUCCCCCAUGUCCCUGUGUCCCCUGUGUGUCCCCUUGUCUCCCCGUGUCCCCCCAUGUCCUCUGUGUGUCCCCAGUGUGUCCCCAUGGUAUCCCCCAUGUCCCUCACGUCUCCAUGUCCCCAGGUCCCCUGUGUCCUCCUAUGUCCCCUGUGUCCUCCUGUAUCCCCCAUGUCCCCUGUGUGUCCUCCCAUGCCCCACCACGUCCCUGUGUGUCCCCAUGUCCCCCCUGUCCCCCACGUCACCCGUGUCCCGUGUGUCCCCAUGGUAUCCCCCAUGUCCCCAUAUCUCUCUGUCCUCAUGUCCCCAUUCCCUUGUCCUCCCUGUCCCAUUGUCCCCAAGUCCCCCUGUGUCCCCAUGUCCUGUGUCCCCAUCAUGCCCCUGUGUGUCCCCAUGUCCCCCCCGAUGUCCCCGCUGCCCCCACCAGUCUCGGACGAAGGCCUGGAAGUCCCCGGAGAAUCCCAUGGCCGGGGGCAGCAGGGGGGGAUCCUCCUGCAGCACCUUGGUCAGCACCUCGAAAUCCGUCUUGCAGUUCUGGUACGGGAACUGCCCCGUGGCCAGCUCCACCUGGGGACACAGUGUGACAGGUGUGACACACACAGGUGUGACACACACAGGUGUGACAGGUGUGACACAGGUGUGACACAUGUCACACACACAGGGACUGCAGUUCUGGUACGGGAACUGCCCCAUGGCCAGCUCCACCUGCGUGGGGACAAGUGUGACACACACAGGUGUGACACACACAGGUGUGACAGGUGUGACACAGGUGUGACACACACAGGUGUGACACAAGUGUGACACACACAGAUAUGACAGGUAUGACACAGGUGUGACACAC